rnacentral:rRNA from 1 species
AGAGUUUGAUCCUGGCUCAGAACGAACGCUGGCGGCAGGCCUAACACAUGCAAGUCGAAGGAGAAGUUUCUCUUCGGAGAGAUGGACACUGGCGCACGGGUGAGUAACGCGUGGGGAUCUACCCCGGGGUGGGGGACAACCGCUGGAAACGGCGGCUAAUACCGCAUACGCCUUAAGAGGGAAAGCUUUAGCGCCCUGGGAUGAACCCGCGUUAGAUUAGGUAGUUGGUGGGGUAACGGCCUACCAAGCCGACGAUCUAUAGCUGGUCUGAGAGGAUGAUCAGCCACACUGGGACUGAGACACGGCCCAGACUCCUACGGGAGGCAGCAGUGGGGAAUAUUGGACAAUGGGGGCAACCCUGAUCCAGCCAUGCCGCGUGCGUGAAGAAGGCCUUAGGGUUGUAAAGCGCUUUCACUGGUGAAGAUGAUGACGGUAGCCAGAGAAGAAGCCCCGGCUAACUCCGUGCCAGCAGCCGCGGUAAUACGGAGGGGGCAAGCGUUGUUCGGAAUUACUGGGAGCAAAGGGCGCGUAGGCGGAAUAUCAAGUUAGGGGUGAAAGGCCUGGGCUCAACCUAGGAACGGCCUCUAAAACUGAUAAUCUAGAG